GCGGACGUAGUGCACGGUGCACCACUGCCUUUAAUUGAGAGAUUGUCGAAGGAUUGCAAGCAGUUGAGGGGUUCGACUCCCCGCGUCCGCC